UACGUAGGGUGCAAGCGUUGUCCGGAAUUAUUGGGCGUAAAGAGCGUGUAGGCGGCCAGAUAGGUCGGUUGUGAAAACUGGAGGCUCAACCUCCAGACGUCGACCGAAACCCUCUGGCUAGAGUCCGGAAGAGGAGAAUGGAAUUCCUGGUGUAGCGGUGAAAUGCGCAGAUAUCAGGAAGAACACCCGUGGCGAAGGCGGUUCUCUGGGACGGUACUGACGCUGAGACGCGAAAGCGUGGGGAGCGAACAGG
rnacentral:rRNA from 1 species